UCCUAUUGGUGACCAAAGAAAGUGGUUUCUUGAGAUGGAAUCUACUCCUGGUGAAGAUCCUACGGA
rnacentral:pre_miRNA from 1 species